rnacentral:rRNA from 1 species
UACAGAGGGUGCGAGCGUUGUCCGGAAUCACUGGGCGUAAAGCGCGCGUAGGCGGUUCGUUAAGUGGGAUGUGAAAUCCCCGGGCUUAACCUGGGAAUUGCAUUUCAAACUGGCCGACUAGAGUACGGUAGAGGGUAGUGGAAUUCCCGGUGUAGCAGUGAAAUGCGUAGAGAUCGGGAGGAACACCAGUGGCGAAGGCGACUACCUGGACCAGCACUGACACUGAGGCACGAAAGCGUGGGGAGCAAACAGGG